UUAUCGGAGAGUUUGAUCCUGGCUCAGGACGAACGCUGGCGGCGUGCCUAAUACAUGCAAGUCGAGCGGACAGAUGGGAGCUUGCUCCCUGAUGUUAGCGGCGGACGGGUGAGUAACACGUGGGUAACCUGCCUGUAAGACUGGGAUAACUCCGGGAAACCGGGGCUAAUACCGGAUGGUUGUUUGAACCGCAUGGUUCAAACAUAAAAGGUGGCUUCGGCUACCACUUACAGAUGGACCCGCGGCGCAUUAGCUAGUUGGUGAGGUAACGGCUCACCAAGGCAACGAUGCGUAGCCGACCUGAGAGGGUGAUCGGCCACACUGGGACUGAGACACGGCCCAGACUCCUACGGGAGGCAGCAGUAGGGAAUCUUCCGCAAUGGACGAAAGUCUGACGGAGCAACGCCGCGUGAGUGAUGAAGGUUUUCGGAUCGUAAAGCUCUGUUGUUAGGGAAGAACAAGUACCGUUCGAAUAGGGCGGUACCUUGACGGUACCUAACCAGAAAGCCACGGCUAACUACGUGCCAGCAGCCGCGGUAAUACGUAGGUGGCAAGCGUUGUCCGGAAUUAUUGGGCGUAAAGGGCUCGCAGGCGGUUUCUUAAGUCUGAUGUGAAAGCCCCCGGCUCAACCGGGGAGGGUCAUUGGAAACUGGGGAACUUGAGUGCAGAAGAGGAGAGUGGAAUUCCACGUGUAGCGGUGAAAUGCGUAGAGAUGUGGAGGAACACCAGUGGCGAAGGCGACUCUCUGGUCUGUAACUGACGCUGAGGAGCGAAAGCGUGGGGAGCGAACAGGAUUAGAUACCCUGGUAGUCCACGCCGUAAACGAUGAGUGCUAAGUGUUAGGGGGUUUCCGCCCCUUAGUGCUGCAGCUAACGCAUUAAGCACUCCGCCUGGGGAGUACGGUCGCAAGACUGAAACUCAAAGGAAUUGACGGGGGCCCGCACAAGCGGUGGAGCAUGUGGUUUAAUUCGAAGCAACGCGAAGAACCUUACCAGGUCUUGACAUCCUCUGACAAUCCUAGAGAUAGGACGUCCCCUUCGGGGGCAGAGUGACAGGUGGUGCAUGGUUGUCGUCAGCUCGUGUCGUGAGAUGUUGGGUUAAGUCCCGCAACGAGCGCAACCCUGGAUCUUAGUUGCCAGCAUUCAGUUGGGCACUCUAAGGUGACUGCCGGUGACAAACCGGAGGAAGGUGGGGAUGACGUCAAAUCAUCAUGCCCCUUAUGACCUGGGCUACACACGUGCUACAAUGGACAGAACAAAG
rnacentral:rRNA from 1 species